rnacentral:rRNA from 1 species
UACGUAGGUGGCAAGCGUUGUUCGGAAUUACUGGGCGUAAAGGGCGCGUAGGCGGCCGCCUAAGUCAGACGUGAAAUCCCUCGGCUCAACCGGGGAACUGCGUCUGAUACUGGGUGGCUUGAAUCCGGGAGAGGGAUGCGGAAUUCCAGGUGUAGCGGUGAAAUGCGUAGAUAUCUGGAGGAACACCGGUGGCGAAGGCGGCAUCCUGGACCGGCAUUGACGCUGAGGCGCGAAAGCCAGGGGAGCAAACGGG